rnacentral:misc_RNA from 1 species
CAGAAGCUAAUGCGUAUUGGGAUGCUGAGAAAGGAGAAAUCAUUUUGUGUGAUUCUGUAGACAUAUCAAUUGCAGUUGCUACUGAGAAGGGCCUAAUGACUCCUAUUGUUAGGAAUGCGGACCAGAAGUCCAUUACAUCUAUCUCCUCAGAGGUUAAGCAACUAGCUGAGAAAGCUCGGGCAGGGAAGCUUGCUCCAAAUGAGUUUCAAGGAGGGACGUUCAGCAUUUCGAACCUGGGAAUGUAUCCAGUGGACCAAUUUGCUGCAAUUAUAAAUCCCCCUCAGGCUGGCAUCCUAGCUGUUGGUAGAGGGAAUAAAGUUGUUGAACCAGUACUUGGAAGUGAUGGAACUGAGAGGCCUGCAGUGGUCAACAAAAUGAACUUGACAUUAUCUGCUGAUCAUCGUGUUUUUGAUGGCAAAGUUGGAGGUGCAUUUCUCACAGCUUUGCGUUCCAACUUCAGUGAUAUCAGGAGACUUCUUCUAUGAGGCCCUCAAACUACAAAUGGGUUUCAAAAAAUAAGACUCGACAGAGCACGUUAUGCGAGAGCAGCAGCUAGCUAGGAAAUUUGUUCAAGGGAUAUUUUUCACCAAUACAAUUGUUUGUGAUGUGCCAUUUUUACAAAAUUUUGCCAUUCAUUGAACUCGUCCUGUUAAUAGUUAGAAUUUAGAGCUGAUGUUCAGGUGCUGAUUCAGGCAAGUUUUUUGCCAUAUGUGAAGAUCAUGCAACAGUUUGAG